rnacentral:rRNA from 1 species
GAUGAACGCUGGCGGCGUGCCUAAUACAUGCAAGUCGAGCGAACAGACGAGGAGCUUGCUCCUCUGACGUUAGCGGCGGACGGGUGAGUAACACGUGGAUAACCUACCUAUAAGACUGGGAUAACUUCGGGAAACCGGAGCUAAUACCGGAUAAUAUAUUGAACCGCAUGGUUCAAUAGUGAAAGACGGUUUUGCUGUCACUUAUAGAUGGAUCCGCGCCGCAUUAGCUAGUUGGUAAGGUAACAGCUUACCAAGGCAACGAUGCGUAGCCGACCUGAGAGGGUGAGCGGCCACACUGGAACUGAGACACGGUCCAGACUCCUACGGGAGGCAGCAGUAGGGAAUCUUCCGCAAUGGGCGAAAGCCUGACGGAGCAACGCCGCGUGAGUGAUGAAGGUCUUCGGAUCGUAAAACUCUGUUAUUAGGGAAGAACAAAUGUGUAAGUAACUAUGCACGUCUUGACGGUACCUAAUCAGAAAGCCACGGCUAACUACGUG